UCUCGUCGCCCCAACCACCCACCACGGCUUCGCCCACCUCUCUCUCUCUCUCUCUCUUCCUCUCACCCACACCCCACCUCUUUCUCCGCGAAGAAGACCAAAAAAAUGGGAGAAAAAAUAGCAGAAUUGAAGGGGAGCCGGAUAUUCUACGUCUCCGGGGAGUCCAUGCCAGAGACCUUGGCUCUCAAUCCUCCGAAUUCGGUCCCUAAAUCGGGAAAAAAUAAAAAAAAUGCGUUUUUUGCUCAAAUUUUGAGCGGAAAAAAGACAGCUUUUUGAGCGGAGACUUCGCAGGGGAUCAAAUUAAUGGCGAGAAACACCAAACAAAACGACUUUUGGGGAUUUUGAGAGACAGUCAGAAAGAGAUCAGAAUUCGUUUCGCUCCGAGCUCUCUCACAAUAUGUUUUGUUCGAAGUUUAUGAAAUGAGAGGUUGGCCAACGAGCAUAUAUAGGCGUGACCGAUUUAUGCGGUGGGACCAAGGGAGCGGGCCACGUGGCAUGGAUUACUGGUGGAAGAAAGUGUUUGAUGUGCUGG
rnacentral:lncRNA from 1 species